rnacentral:rRNA from 1 species
CCUACGGGGGGCAGCAGUCGAGAAUCAUUCACAAUGGGGGAAACCCUGAUGGUGCGACGCCGCGUGGGGGAAUGAAGGUCUUCGGAUUGUAAACCCCUGUCAUGUGGGAGCAAAUUAAAAAGAUAGUACCACAAGAGGAAGAGACGGCUAACUCUGUUCCAGCAGCCGCGGUAAUACAGAGGUCUCAAGCGUUGUUCGGAAUCACUGGGCGGAAAGCGUGCGUAGGCUGUUUCGUAAGUCGUGUGUGAAAGGCGCGUGCUCAACCCGCGGACGGCACAUGAUACUGCGAGACUAGAGUAAUGGAGGGGGAACCGGAAUUCGCGGUGUAGCAGUGAAAUGCGUAGAUAUUGAGAGGAACACUCAUGGCGAAGGCGGGUUCCUGGACAUUAACUGACGCUGAGGCACGAAAGCCAGGGGAGCGAAAGGGAUUAGAUACCCCAGUAGUC